rnacentral:rRNA from 1 species
AUUGAACGCUGGCGGCAGGCCUAACACAUGCAAGUCGAGCGAGCGGCGGAGGGGUGAGUAAUGUCUGGGAAACUGCCCGUUGGAGGGGGAUAACUACAGGAAACGGUAGCUCAUACAGCACAUGAUCAGAUGUGCCCAGAGGGGAUUAGCUAGUAGGUGGGGUAACGGCUCACCUCGGCGACGAUCCCUAGCUGGUCUGAGAGGAUGACCAGCCACACUGGAACUGAGACACGGGCCAGACUCCUACGGGAGGCAGCAGUGGGGAAUAUUGCACAAUGGGCGCAAGCCUGAUGCAGCCAUGCCGCGUGUAUGAAGAAGGCCUUCGGGUUGUAAAGCACUUUCAGCGGGGAGGCGUUACCCGCAGAAGAAGCACCGGCUAACUCCGUGCCAGCAGCCGCGGUAAUAC